GUGGAUUAGAUACCCUGGUAGUCCACGCCGUAAACGAUGGAUACUAGCUGUUCGGGGCAACCUGAGUGGCUAAGCGAAAGUGAUAAGUAUCCCACCUGGGGAGUACGUUCGCAAGAAUGAAACUCAAAGGAAUUGACGGGGGCCCGCACAAGCGGUGGAGCAUGUGGUUUAAUUCGAUGAUACGCGAGGAACCUUACCAAGGCUUAAAUGUAGAUUGACAGGACUGGAAACAGUUUUUUCUUCGGACAAUUUACAAGGUGCUGCACGGUCGUCGACAGCU
rnacentral:rRNA from 1 species